UAACCUGACUUUCUGGAACAUGCUCAGUUCAGCUGAAAGGAUGUAUUGCAAUUAUGCAGAGAGAUGGAAUUGUCCGGACUCCAGUGCCACCUUCACCGAUCAACAACAUGCCAAGACACUGCCACAAGAGAUCCACCACCUCAGACGGUGCUGACAAGGGUGCAAAGCACUCUGCGGUAGAGCUUUGGUACCGGGUUUUAAAGUGAACAUUUGCCCUCAUGAAGCCCCCACUUUGUGGCCAUUGCAGCUGUGGCUAAGGAGGAUGCCCGUCAGCGCCAGCUCACUGCUUGCCUGUGUAAUUGAUCUAUAUUUCCAGCCUUUUUGUUUAGAGUAACUACAACAACGCCUAGAAAGAAUGAAAGACCAUUUUUGCCAUGCCUAUUUGGCCACUGAACAAAGAACUUUUUGUUUAGCUGCACUUUUUGUCUCAACUAUUUUGUUCUUGCUCUCAAGAACAAGACAUGUAGUCGUGUAUUCUAAAUGUAAUCAAGCACUUCCUAAUAUUGAUGUACCCCCUCAGGUGUAUUGGUACUGGUACAUAUUCGUCAUAACACUACCAAUCAUAUAUAGUAAAUUCAAAGGUCUCUA